rnacentral:rRNA from 2 species
AAGUCGAGGGGUAACAGGGUGCUUGCACCGCUGACGACCGGCGCACGGGUGCGUAACGCGUAUAGAACCUACCUUUUACAGGGGAAUAGCCCAGAGAAAUUUGGAUUAAUGCCCCAUAGUAUUAUAGAAUGGCAUCAUUUUAUAAUUAAACAUUUAUGGGUAAAAGAUGGCUAUGCGUUCUAUUAGCUAGAUGGUAAGGUAACGGCUUACCAUGGCAACGAUAGAUAGGGGUCCUGAGAGGGAGAUCCCCCACACUGGUACUGAGACAGGGACCAGACUCC